UUAGACCAGAUGGAGGUAGGUAAAUUAGACCAGGUGGAGGUGGGUAAAUUAGACCAGAUGGAGAUGGGUCAAUUAGACCAGAUGGAGGUAGGUAAAUUAGACCAGAUGGAGAUGGGUAAAUUAGACCAGGUGGAGAAGGGUAAAUUAGACCAGGUGGAGGUAGGUAAAUUAGACCAGAUGGAGAUGGGUAAAUUAGACCAGGUGGAGUUGGGUAAAUUAGACCAGAUGGAGGUAGGUAAAUUAGACCAGAUGGAGGUAGGUAAAUUAGACCAGGUGGAGAUGGGUAAAUUAGACCAGGUGGAGAUGGGUAAAUUAGACCAGGUGGAGGUAGGUAAAUUAGACCAGGUGGAGGUAGGUAAAUUAGACCAGGUGGAGGUAGGUAAAUUAGACCAGGUGGAGGUAGGUAAAUUAGACCAGGUGGAGGUAGGUAAAUUAGACCAGAUGGAGGUAGGUAAAUUAGACCAGAUGGAGAAGGGUAAAUUAGACCAG